CAUCUAAUCGCUUGAUCUACUGGGCGCGUCACUCAUCACGAUAUUAUGUUACUGAUAUUUCACAAAAUAUCGAUACGACUGUAUUGUAAAUCACAGAAGCACGUGAAAAUAUCGUUAAGGCAGAUACUACAAAUCAUCUCUAGAACGAAAUUUCUAAAGUAGCGGUACUUUUAAAGCUUUAUUUAAAAUGGACGAAUUUCAAUAUGGCACCUGUCCUUACAACAAGGAGCAUCGCAUUGUGCUAUAUAAAAUGCCUGGGCACAUAAUUAAAUGCGCACGCAAUUACAAAGGACCUCCACUUGCAAUUUGCAAAUAUAAUGCAACUCAUCGUUUGCUGGAAGAGGAAAUGGAGGAGCAUUUGUCAGAAUGUGCAGAUAAUCAUAAGCAUCAUGAGGAAAUUGCAUUACAAGCGCUUAAAUCCCCACCACAUUACUAAUAUUCAUUUGUAAAAUAAAAGCCUUUGUUCCUUACCGAAAGUCAA